rnacentral:rRNA from 1 species
AAUAGAUACCCGGGUAGUCCACGCCGUAAACGAUGAGUGCUAAGUGUUAGGGGGUUUCCGCCCCUUAGUGCUGCAGCUAACGCAUUAAGCACUCCGCCUGGGGAGUACGGUCGCAAGACUGAAACUCAAAGGAAUUGACGGGGGCCCGCACAAGCGGUGGAGCAUGUGGUUUAAUUCGAAGCAACGCGAAGAACCUUACCAGGUCUUGACAUCCCACUGACCGCUAUGGAGACAUAGUUUUCCCUUCGGGGACAGUGGUGACAGGUGGUGCAUGGUUGUCGUCAGCUCGUGUCGUGAGAUGUUGGGUUAAGUCCCGCAACGAGCGCAACCCUUGAUCUUAGUUGCCAUCAUUUAGUUGGGCACUCUAAGGUGACUGCCGGUGACAAACCGGAGGAAGGUGGGGAUGACGUCAAAUCAUCAUGCCCCUUAUGGCCUGGGCUACACACGUGCUACAAUGGACGGUACAAACGGUUGCCAACCCGGCGAGGGGGAGCUAAUCCGGAUAAAACCCGUUCUCAGUUCGGAUUGUAGGCUGCAACUCGCCUAC